UGGCGGACGGGUGAGUAACGCGUAAAGAACUUGCCCUUUAGACUGGGAUAACAGAGGGAAACUUCUGAUAAUACUGGAUAAGUUAGUAUAUCGCAUGAUAUACAAAUGAAAGCUACGGCACUAAAGGAGAGCUUUGCGUCCUAUUAGCUAGUUGGUAAGGUAAGAGCUUACCAAGGCGAUGAUAGGUAGCCGGCCUGAGAGGGUGGACGGCCACAAGGGGACUGAGAUACGGCCCUUACUCCUACGGGAGGCAGCAGCG
rnacentral:rRNA from 1 species